UGGGGUAUCGCCAAGCGGUAAGGCAAUGGAUUCUGAUUCCAUCAUUCGGAGGUUCGAAUCCUCCUACCCUAGCCA
rnacentral:tRNA from 1 species